GGGGGUGUAGUUCAGAUGGUUAGAACGUCUGCCUGUCACGCAGAAGGUCGCGAGUUCGAGUCCCGUCACUCCCGCCA
rnacentral:tRNA from 1 species